GUGUCAUCCACUGUCACAAUAAUUUUUUUUUUUUUUAAAUACCUCAAAAACAGGACAUCAUGACAACUUUGGUAAAGUAGAUUCCAGGAGGGUCUGAUACAUACAGGUUGUCCAUUUGAUGACCUACUUGACCUUGAAGAAUCUGGGGUCGUUUUAGUUUUCAUUCUUCAGUUAAAAUGGCAGAAUGCUUAAAGGAAGGACUGUGGUUGACUUUUAUUUUGUUUCAAGUUUUGCUUUUGAAUAAAAUGUGAAUUUCCUAUGCCCAUCUCAUCGAGCUUUUUCAGUCAUUGUUGCUGUCAUUUGAAAUGACUCCCUCACAACCUAUCUUUAUUGACCAGCUGCAUCUGCUGUAGCCAACUUCAACAUACCCUGGACCAACCUGAGUGUUUUUUGAGGUGCAUACCCCCAGCAUAGGUUAUACAGUCCCGCACGCACUCACACGCACAGGGAGAGUUUUUCCAUGUGCGAGGCCCCGUCCUGGCACUCCCAGCCCUUCCUUCCGCAGAGCUGCCAACAAGAGAAAAGCAAUAGGCUUCUUCCCUGAGCAGAGAUUGCAGCACAGAAAUGCAAGGUCUACCGUCGCUUUUUGCCUAAGAAUCAGUGAGAAUUGGCCUACUUCCUCGUUUGCUCCUCUUCUGAUAUCAGGGAUGAUUUUUGUAGUGGUGUUGUUCGCUCUCUUUUCUCAUUUUGACUACCUGUCAUUCAGGGAUAACUCAUCAUUGUCACAUGAGGAUUUUAAAAAUUCUAUUUGGCUCAUUGAAUAUCCAAAUUUUCUUGGUUCCAAUAGUUUUUUUUUUUUUUUUUUUCUUUUAAGGGGAAAAAAGGAGGAGAAAAACAGGAGUGACGUAAUUUCUUUUUCAUCUAUUCUAAUUAAAGAAACAAGGGCAGGUCAUAUUGUGGCAUAUUAAUGCAUUGGACUUAAUCUAGAACCCCUGUAGCUUUUUGAUGUGUUUUAUUUCUUCUCUCUUUGAAUUCCUGUUUGGUUACUUGGCUUCCAAUGGAGGUGAACUUAACAACCAUACUUGAAUAUUCCGUCUUGACUUUGUAACUGUGGCUACUUGAAAUGAAGUUUAUCUGGGGUUGAUGGAUGAAUGGUAGAUUUUUGCAAUGUCUCAAGGCAAUAGGAUGUGUAUUAUUAAACUGUAGAUAUUCUUAGUACAGUAAAUUUAUGCUGAUAAUUUUAUUUUGUAUAAUUUUUACUUUUUUGUUAAUAUUUUUUCCUCCCACUUUAUUGGUUUGCCUCCUGAGCUACCCUCCUUGCCCUCCCUUCUCCCCCAGUGUUUCAGCAGAUUUAAUUUAGGGUGCCUAGAAAUUGCAAGUAUGUAUCCUUUUUUGAUUUGUAUUUUAUUAUAAUUUACACAAACAACUGGGUUUGUGAACUGUAUUACUCCUGGUAUCUUUAAAAUAUUGUGG
ensembl:lncRNA